rnacentral:rRNA from 1 species
CCUACGGUAGGCAGCAGUGAGGAAUAUUGGUCAAUGGACGAGAGUCUGAACCAGCCAAGUAGCGUGACGGAUGACUGCCCUAUGGGUUGUAAACUUCUUUUAUAAAGGAAUAAAACGAGGCACGUGUGCCUUUUUGCAUGUACUUUAUGAAUAAGGAUCGGCUAACUCCGUGCCAGCAGCCGCGGUAAUACGGAGGAUCCGAGCGUUAUCCGGAUUUAUUGGGUUUAAAGGGAGAGUAGAUGGGUUGUUAAGUCAGUUGUGAAAGUUUGCGGCUCAACCGUAAAAUUGCAAUUGAUACUGGCAGUCUUGAGUACAGUUGAGGUAGGCGGAAUUCGUGGUGUAGCGGUGAAAUGCUUAGAUAUCACGAAGAACCCCGAUUGCGAAGGCAGCUUACUAAACUGUGACUGACAUUGAUGCUCGAAAGUGUGGGUAUCAAACAGGAUUAGAUACCCCUGUAGUC